rnacentral:rRNA from 1 species
UAAAGCGUGCGCAGCGGUUAUAUAAGACAGAUGUGAAAUCCCCGGGCUCAACCUGGGAACUGCAUUUGUGACUGUAUAGCUGGAGUGCGGCAGAGGGGGAUGGAAUUCCGCGUGUAGCAGUGAAAUGCGUAGAUAUGCGGAGGAACACCGAUGGCGAAGGCAAUCCCCUGGGCCUGCACUGACGCUCAUGCACGAAAGCGUGGGGAGCAAACAGGAUUAGAUACCCUGGU